AGAUUGAACGCUGGCGGCGUGCCUAACACAUGCAAGUCGAGCGGUAACAGGUGUAGCAAUACAUGCUGACGAGCGGCGAACGGGUGAGUAAUGCUUUGGAAUCUUCCCAGUAGUGGGGAAUAACCAGUCGAAAGAUUGGCUAAUACCGCAUAAGUCUGUAAAGGGAAAGCGGGGGCUCGUAAGACCUCGCGCUAUUGGAUGAGCCAAAGUCGGAUUAGCUAGUUGGUGGGGUAAUGGCCUACCAAGGCGACAAUCCGUAGCUGGUCUGAGAGGACGACCAGCCACACCGGAACUGAGACACGGUCCGGACUCCUACGGGAGGCAGCAGUGGGGAAUAUUGGACAAUGGGGGAAACCCUGAUCCAGCGACGCCGCGUGUGUGAAGAAGGCCUGCGGGUUGUAAAGCACUUUUAGUGGGGACAAAAGCUACGGACUAAUAUUCUGUGGUCUUGAUUUAACCCAAAGAAAAGCACCGGCUAACUCUGCGCCAGCAGCCGCGGUAA
rnacentral:rRNA from 1 species